rnacentral:rRNA from 1 species
GACGAACGCUGGCGGCGUGCUUAACACAUGCAAGUCGAACGGAAAGGCCCUGCUUUUGUGGGGUGCUCGAGUGGCGAACGGGUGAGUAACACGUGAGUAACCUGCCCUUGACUUUGGGAUAACUUCAGGAAACUGGGGCUAAUACCGGAUAGGAGCUCCUGCUGCAUGGUGGGGGUUGGAAAGUUUCGGCGGUUGGGGAUGGACUCGCGGCUUAUCAGCUUGUUGGUGGGGUAGUGGCUUACCAAGGCUUUGACGGGUAGCCGGCCUGAGAGGGUGACCGGCCACAUUGGGACGGAGAUACGGCGCAGACUCUUACGGGGGGCAGCAGUGGGGAAUAUUGCACAAUGGGCGGAAGCCUGAUGCAGCAACGCCGCGUGCGGGAUGACGGCCUUGGGGUGAUAAACCGCUUUCGCCUGUGACGAAGUGUGAGUGACGGUAAAGGGAAAAGAAGCACCGGGUAACUAC